GUUCCCUACGGGACGCAGCAGUGGGGAAUAUUGCACAAUGGGGGAAACCCUGAUGCAGCGACGCCGCGUGGGUGAAGAAGUAUUUCGGUAUGUAAAGCCCUAUCAGCAGGGAAGAAAUGACGGUACCUGAGUAAGAAGCACCGGCUAAAUACGUGCCAGCAGCCGCGGUAAUACGUAUGGUGCAAGCGUUAUCCGGAUUUACUGGGUGUAAAGGGAGCGCAGGCGGCACGGCAAGCCUGAUGUGAAAGCCCGCGG
rnacentral:rRNA from 1 species